GACUAGGCCCGACUUGGCUGACAGAUGAACCGUAUUCCCUUCCGCCCGACGGCCAGAAUCCACCCGACUUCCGGACGACAAACUCCCGUCCAUCCACGACGGAUGAAAAGAACAGUCGGUUCAGAAUGCGAAGAGCGCGCCGCAGACGUGUGUACUGGCAAAGGAGCGACAUGGCAUGUGCUCAACACAUGUGAACACAAAACCCCUAUACAGACAAACGUAUACACACACACACACACACACACACACACUCACACGCACACACUCACACGCACACAUACAUACAUACACACGGACACAUGCACACACACCCAUCCAUCCAAU
ensembl:lncRNA